rnacentral:snoRNA from 1 species
CUGGUCCUGAAUCAAGGCCAGCAGCUUCCUGACACUGUUGCUUUCAAGCAAAAAGUGAUGUCUUUCUAUGGUCUGUUGGCCACUUCAGGACUUAAGCAGUGAAACAGUCAAUUGAUUAGAAACAGUUGAAG